CAUGCAAGUCGAGCGAACAGAUAAGGAGCUUGCUCCUUUGACGUUAGCGGCGGACGGGUGAGUAACACGUGGGUAACCUACCUAUAAGACUGGGAUAACUUCGGGAAACCGGAGCUAAUACCGGAUAACAUUUGGAACCGCAUGGUUCUAAAGUGAAAGAUGGUUUUGCUAUCACUUAUAGAUGGACCCGCGCCGUAUUAGCUAGUUGGUAAGGUAACGGCUUACCAAGGCGACGAUACGUAGCCGACCUGAGAGGGUGAUCGGCCACACUGGAACUGAGACACGGUCCAGACUCCUACGGGAGGCAGCAGUAGGGAAUCUUCCGCAAUGGGCGAAAGCCUGACGGAGCAACGCCGCGUGAGUGAUGAAGGGUUUCGGCUCGUAAAACUCUGUUAUUAGGGAAGAACAAAUGUGUAAGUAACUGUGCACGUCUUGACGGUACCUAAUCAGAAAGCCACGGCUAACUACGUGCCAGCAGCCGCGGUAAUACGUAGGUGGCAAGCGUUAUCCGGAAUUAUUGGGCGUAAAGCGCGCGUAGGCGGUUUCUUAAGUCUGAUGUGAAAGCCCACGGCUCAACCGUGGAGGGUCAUUGGAAACUGGGAAACUUGAGUGCAGAAGAGGAAAGUGGAAUUCCAUGUGUAGCGGUGAAAUGCGCAGAGAUAUGGAGGAACACCAGUGGCGAAGGCGACUUUCUGGUCUGUAACUGACGCUGAUGUGCGAAAGCGUGGGGAUCAAACAGGAUUAGAUACCCUGGUAGUCCACGCCGUAAACGAUGAGUGCUAAGUGUUAGGGGGUUUCCGCCCCUUAGUGCUGCAGCUAACGCAUUAAGCACUCCGCCUGGGGAGUACGACCGCAAGGUU
rnacentral:rRNA from 1 species